rnacentral:rRNA from 1 species
AACGCGAAGAACCUUACCAACCCUUGACAUGUCCCGUAUGGGUUCAGAGAUGAGAUCCUUCAGUUCGGCUGGCGGGAACACAGGUGCUGCAUGGCUGUCGUCAGCUCGUGUCGUGAGAUGUUGGGUUAAGUCCCGCAACGAGCGCAACCCUUGUCCUUAGUUGCCAUCAUUAAGUUGGGAACUCUAAGGAGACCGCCGGUGACAAACCGGAGGAAGGUGGGGAUGACGUCAAGUCAUCAUGGCCUUUAUGACCAGGGCUACACACGUGCUACAAUGGCCGGUACAAAGGGCUGCGAUACCGUGAGGUGGAGCGAAUCCCAAAAAGCCGGUCUCAGUUCGGAUCGGGGUCUGCAACUCGACCCCGUGAAGUCGGAGUCGCUAGUAAUCGCAGAUCAGCAACGCUGCGGUGAAUACGUUCCCGGGUCUUGUACACACCGCCU